rnacentral:rRNA from 1 species
UUUCUUACGGGGGAAGGAAGCAGUGAGGGAAAUUUUCGAACCAAUGGGCGAAUGCCUUGAUCCAAGCAUGCCGCGGUGGGUGGAAAGAAAGGCGUUCGGGUUUGUAAAGCACUUUUUGUUCGGGAAAAAGAAAUCUUCUGGUUCAGACUUCGGGGGGGAUGACGUACCGGAAGAAAUAAGCACCGGCUAACUACGUGCCAGCAGCCGCGGUAAUACGUAGGGUGCGAGCGUUAAUCGGAAUUACUGGGCGUAAAGCGUGCGCAGGCGGUUUUGUAAGACGGAUGUGAAAUCCCCGGGCUCAACCUGGGAACUGCAUUCGUGACUGCAAGGCUAGAGUAUGGGCAGAGGGGGGGUAGAAAUUCCACGUGUAAGCAGUGAAAAUGCGUAGAGAUGUGGAGGAAUACCGAUGGCGAAGGCAGCCCCCCUGGGCCAAUACUGACGCUCAUGCACGGAAAGCGUGGGGAGCAAACAGGAUUAGAUACCCUGGGUAGUCCACGCCCUAAACGAUGUCAACUAGUUGUUGGGGAUUCAUUUCCUUAGUAACGUAGCUAACGCGUGAAGUUGACCGCCUGGGGAGUACGGUCGCAAGAUUAAAACUCAAAGGAAUUGACGGGGACCCGCACAAGCGGUGGAUGAUGUGGAUUAAUUCGAUGCAACGCGAAAAACCUUACCUACCCUUGACAUGUACGGAAGUCCGCUGAGAGGUGGAUGUGCUCGAAAGAGAACCGUAACACAGGUGCUGCAUGGCUGUCGUCAGCUCGUGUCGUGAGAUGUUGGGUUAAGUCCCGCAACGAGCGCAACCCUUGUCCUUAGUUGCUACGCAAGAGCACUCUAAGGAGACUGCCGGUGACAAACCGGAGGAAGGUGGGGAUGACGUCAAGUCCUCAUGGCCCUUAUGGGUAGGGCUUCACACGUCAUACAAUGGUCGGUACAGAGGGCUGCCAAACCGCGAGGUGGAGCUAACCCCAGAAAACCGAUCGUAGUCCGGAUCGCAGUCUGCAACUCGACUGCGUGAAGCUGGAAUCGCUAGUAAUCGCGGAUCAGCAUGUCGCGGUGAAUACGUUCCCGGGUCUUGUACACACCGCCCGUCACACCAUGGGAGUGGGUUUUGCCAGAAGUAGGUAGCAGUAGCACGUAAGGGAAAGCAGCUUUACCCUUUUUUUA